UCCCCCCCUUCCUCCCUCUCCCUCCCUAACCCCACACCUUCAGACCUCCUCCUCCCCUCCACCCGCGGCUGCCGGAGCCCCCAUACUCAGGUUAUACUUCAUGCAGAGUAGUAGAAGAAGAGAGGACGAGACCUCGUCGCUAAAAGCAUCCUAUGAGGAAACGAAGGUUAAAAAAGUUUGCACA